rnacentral:rRNA from 2 species
UGGGGAAUAUUGCGCAAUGGGGGCAACCCUGACGCAGCCAUGCCGCGUGAAUGAAGAAGGCCUUCGGGUUGUAAAGUUCUUUCGGUAGCGAGGAAGGCAUUUAGUUUAAUAGACUAGGUGAUUGACGUUAACUACAGAAGAAGCACCGGCUAACUCCGUGCCAGCAGCCGCGGUAAUACGGAGGGUGCGAGCGUUAAUCGGAAUAACUGGGCGUAAAGGGCACGCAGGCGGUGACUUAAGUGAGGUGUGAAAGCCCCGGGCUUAACCUGGGAAUUGCAUUUCAUACUGGGUCGCUAGAGUACUUUAGGGAGGGGUAGAAUUCCACGUGUAGCGGUGAAAUGCGUAGAGAUGUGGAGGAAUACCGAAGGCGAAGGCAGCCCCUUGGGAAUGUACUGACGCUCAUGUGCGAAAGCGUGGGGAGCAAACA